AUUAAUUAAAUUGCCCAAAAAAAUAAAAUAUUCAGCCAUUACCAACUGAUAACCUCCUCUACAGUUCUUUCUCUGGACUUAACUUGUGAGGGAGAAUGAGAUUACCUGAAUACGCAACCGAUGGUGCCACUUCACCCCUUGUCAAUGGCUUUUACUUGCUUGCCUAGUAUAGGCACUGGAUGGUUUAGUUGGAGAAAAAACCCCUUCGAUAACAAACGAUUAGGGUUUUGGUUUGUUUUUCAAUUUGGGGAAAAUGGAAAAACGAAACGGAGUUUUAGCUUUUCAUUAUCUAUCUAAAUUAAUUGAAUUUAAUUUGUAAAAGGAUAGUGCAAAACAGAAGAGAUCGAGAAGAGAAAAACGAAAGAGAAAGUCAACGAUAAAAGCAAGAUAGAGACAGUAGUCUGGGUAGAUGGGGAAAAGUCAAGUGUGUUUUAUGUUGUUGUUAUUUAUAUUUUCAUUUUUUAAUAAUUUAAAUAUUAUUAUGACUUUGACUCAUCUAGAUUUGAUGGUAUGUGCUCCAAACAUUAAAGUUUUAAAUCUUAGAGCUCUCAGUUCGAGUUCGAGUUAAAACAAAUUGUUAUGAAUUUUUUUUAUC
rnacentral:lncRNA from 1 species